UACGUAGGGGGCUAGCGUUGUCCGGAUUUAUUGGGCGUAAAGAGCGUGUAGGCGGCCAGGUAGGUCUGCUGUGAAAACUCGAGGCUCAACCUCGAGACGUCGGCGGAAACCAUCUGGCUAGAGUCCGGAAGAGGAGAGUGGAAUUCCGGGUGUAGUGGUGGAAUACGUAGAUAUCCGGAGGAACACCAGCGGCGAAGGCGGCUUUCUGGUCCGAUUCUGACGCUGAGGCGCGAAAGCGUGGGGAGCGAUCCGG
rnacentral:rRNA from 1 species